ACUGCUCAGUAACACGUAGUCAAUCUACCCUAUGGACGGGAAUAACCUCGGGAAACUGAGAAUAAUGCCCGAUAGAACAUUAUGCCUGGAAUGGUUUAUGUUUCAAAUGAUUUAUCGCCAUAGGAUGGGACUGCGGCCUAUCAGUUUGUUGGUGAGGUAAUGGCCCACCAAGACUAUUACAGGUACGGGCUCUGAGAGGAGUAGCCCGGAGAUGGGUACUGAGACACGGACCCAGGCCCUAUGGGGCGCAGCAGGCGAGAAAACUUUGCAAUGUGCGAAAGCACGACAAGGUUAAUCCGAGUGGUUUCUGCUAAAGAAACCUUUUGUCAGUCCUAGAAACACUAACGAAUAAGGGGUGGGCAAGUUCUGGUGUCAGCCGCCGCGGUAAAACCAGCACCUCAAGUGGUCAGGAUGAUUAUUGGGCCUAAAGCAUCCGUAGCUCGUUUUGUAAGUUUUCGGUUAAAUCCAUGCGCUUAACGUAUGGGCUGCCGGGAAUACUGCGUAACUAGGAAGUGGGAGAGGUAGACGGUACUCGGGAGGAAGGGGUAAAAUCCUUUGAUCUCUUGAUGACCACCUGUGGCGAAGGCGGUCUACCAGAACACGUUCGACGGUGAGGGAUGAAAGCUGGGGGAGCAAACCGGAUUAGAUACCCGGGUAGUCCCAGCUGUAAACUAUGCAAACUCAGUGAUGCAUUGGCUUAUGGCCAAUGCAGUGCUGCAGGGAAGCCGUUAAGUUGCCG
rnacentral:rRNA from 1 species